AUUUUUUUGGAAGAUGACCAAAAUGCUAUCUCUAUUUGGAGAUAAUAAUUAGUCUCAUCUUCAUUGGCUUCUUCUCGAAUGCGGAGGGAAUUAUCGGAUGAGUACAUUGGAACAUGGUCGCCAUGUGGCCUGCUGCCCCCGUGUACCACUUGGAGACCAGCCUAGCAUGGAAAUGACCAGAUGUUGGAAGCUGAGCUACUGCUCAAGGUAUUAAUGCUUGAAAGAUAUUCCAUGUUUGAAGGGAUUUUUGUGGUGCUGGCCUACAAGUUGACCUUUUUGACGUGAAUAAGAAACAUUCUUCAAAACUGUGGUUGACAUCCAAGCUUGCUGUCAUGUUUUGAACUGCCCUAUGGAGAAAGCAACAUGGCUAAGAAUAUGAGAGAGCCAACAGGACAAUGAGGACCUCAAUACAGCAAGAAACCAAAUCCUGCCAACAACCAUUUCUCAGAUUCUGAAGACCAGGACUCCUCAUGAAUCUGUCAGCCCCCCUCACCCCAGCUCUGGGCCUCUGUGUCACCACC
rnacentral:lncRNA from 1 species